CAGUUAUGGUUCCUUANAUCGUACCCACAAUUACUUGGAUNACUGUGGUAAUUCUAGAGCUAAUACAUGCAAACAGAGCUCCGACCGGAGACGGAAGGAGUGCUUUUAUUAGAUCAAAACCAAUCGGUGGCGAGUUCUCGCUCGUCAUCGUACAAAUUGGUGACUCUGAAUAACUUUACGCUGAUCGCACGGUCAUCGCACCGGCGACGCAUCUUUCAAAUGUCUGCCUUAUCAACUGUCGAUGGUAGGUUCUGCGCCUACCAUGGUUGUAACGGGUAACGGGGAAUCAGGGUUCGAUUCCGGAGAGGGAGCCUGAGAAACGGCUACCACAUCCAAGGAAGGCAGCAGGCGCGCAAAUUACCCACUCCCGGCACGGGGAGGUAGUGACGAAAAAUAACGAUACGGGACUCAUCCGAGGCCCCGUAAUCGGAAUGAGUACACUCUAAACCCUUUAACGAGGAUCAAUUGGAGGGCAAGUCUGGUGCCAGCAGCCGCGGUAAUUCCAGCUCCAAUAGCGUAUAUUAAAGUUGUUGCGGUUAAAAAGCUCGUAGUCGAAUUUGUGUCUCGUGCCGCUGGUUCAUCGUCCGCGGUGUUUACUGGCGAGUCGCGAGACGUCCUGCCGGUGGGCUUAGCUCGCAAGGGCGGCCCAACUCAAUCCUGCCGCGGUGCUCUUGAUUGAGUGUCAAGGUGGGCCGGCACGUUUACUUUGAACAAAUUAGAGUGCUUAAAGCAGGCUAAAACUUCGCNUGAAUACUGUGUGCAUGGAAUAAUGGAAUAGGACCUCGGUUCUAUUUUGUUGGUUUUCGGAACUCCGAGGUAAUGAUUAAUAGGAACGGAUGGGGGCAUUCGUAUUGCGACGUUAGAGGUGAAAUUCUUGGAUCGUCGCAAGACCGACAGAAGCGAAAGCAUUUGCCAAAAACGCUUUCAUUGAUCAAGAACGAAAGUUAGAGGUUCGAAGGCGAUCAGAUACCGCCCUAGUUCUAACUAUAAACGAUGCCAGCUAGCGAUCCGUCGACGUUCCUCCGAUGACUCGACGGGCAGCUUCCGGGAAACCAAAGCUUUUGGGUUCCGGGGGAAGUAUGGUUGCAAAGCUGAAACUUAAAGGAAUUGACGGAAGGGCACCACCAGGAGUGGAGCCUGCGGCUUAAUUUGACUCAACACGGGAAACCUCACCAGGCCCGGACACCGGAAGGAUUGACAGAUUGAGAGCUCUUUCUUGAUUCGGUGGGUGGUGGUGCAUGGCCGUUCUUAGUUGGUGGAGCGAUUUGUCUGGUUAAUUCCGAUAACGAACGAGACUCUAGCCUGCUAACUAGGCGUAUUUUGACAUCCUAAAGGCCCGCCGGCUUGGGGUUCGCUCCCUUGUCGUGCGCGGUUUUUACUGUCGGCGUACAAACAAUUCUUCUUAGAGGGACAGGCGGCUUCUANCCGCACGAGAUUGAGCAAUAACAGGUCUGUGAUGCCCUUAGAUGUUCUGGGCCGCACGCGCGCUACACUGAAGGAAUCAGCGUGUCCUCCCUGGCCGAGUGGCCCGGGUAACCCGCUGAACCUCCUUCGUGCUAGGGAUUGGGGCUUGCAAUUGUUCCCCAUGAACGAGGAAUUCCCAGUAAGCGCGAGUCAUAAGCUCGCGUUGANUACGUCCUGCCUUUGUAGANAC
rnacentral:rRNA from 1 species